rnacentral:rRNA from 1 species
UGGGGAAUAUUGCACAAUGGAGGGAACUCUGAUGCAGCGACGCCGCGUGAACGAAGAAGGCUUUCGAGUCGUAAAGUUCUUUUAUAUGGGAAGAUAAUGACGGUACCAUAAGAAAAAGCCCCGGCUAACUACGUGCCAGCAGCCGCGGUAAUACGUAGGGGGCUAGCGUUGUCCGGAAUCACUGGGCGUAAAGGGUUCGCAGGCGGAAAUGCAAGUCAGGUGUAAAAGGCAGUAGCUUAACUACUGUAAGCAUUUGAAAAUGCAUAUCUUGAGAAGAGUAGAGGUAAGUGGAAUUUUUAGUGUAGCGGUGAAAUGCGUAGAUAUUAAAAAGAAUACCGGUGGCGAAGGCGACUUACUGGGCUCAUUCUGACGCUGAGGAACGAAAGCGUGGGUAGCAAACAGG